GAACAGCCGAAGACCAUGAAAUGAUGCAGUAUAUACAAUAAGCGAUGUUUCAGAGAACAAAUGAGAGAAGUCCUGGAACUGGUACACUUGCUAUUUAACAAUGCUGAUGGUCAGAUACAAUUCCAGGUUAGAUCCAGGGGCCGACACGCUUGUCAGAUGGGUCAUUGAUGAUUCCCUGAACAUCGCAGAUAUGAUCUGAUUUGGUGACAUGGCAGUGGAAUUGGUAGUGACUGGAUUUUUAUAGUGUGCCCUGGUUUUGAACUAUUGAAGUAACCAAACUAGAAACAUCUUCUGAGAACUCUGACUGCAAUUCUGAUGAUGAAAGUCUGUCUACACUUGUGAAAAUGUGAAGGA